rnacentral:rRNA from 1 species
CCUACGGGGGGCUGCAGUGGGGAAUUUUGCGCAAUGGGCGAAAGCCUGACGCAGCAACGCCGCGUGUGUGAUGAAGGUUUUCGGAUCGUAAAGCACUUUCGACCGGGAAGAAACUUCGCUGGCUAAUAUCCAGCGACCUGACGGUACCGGGAGAAGAAGCACCGGCUAACUCUGUGCCAGCAGCCGCGGUAAUACAGAGGGUGCAAGCGUUGUUCGGAAUUAUUGGGCGUAAAGCGCGUGUAGGCGGCUUUGCAAGUCUUGUGUGAAAUCCCUCGGCUUAACCGAGGAAGUGCGCAAGAAACUGCAGAGCUUGAGUACCGGAGAGGAUGGUGGAAUUCCCCAAGUAGAGGUGAAAUUCGUAGAUAUGGGGAGGAACACCGGUGGCGAAGGCGACCAUCUGGACGGAUACUGACGCUGAGACGCGAAAGCGUGGGGAGCAAACAGGAUUAGAUACCCUGUAGUC